rnacentral:rRNA from 1 species
AGUACCGUGAGGGAAAGGUGAAAAGAACCCCGGGAGGGGAGUGAAAUAGAACCUGAAACCGUGUGCCUACAACCGCUCAGAGCCCCUUAUGAGGGUGAUGAGGUGCUUUUUGUAGAACGAGCCAACGAGUUACGGUAUGUAGCAAGGUUAAGUACUUAAGGUACGGAGCCGAAGGGAAACCGAGUCUGAAUAGGGCGACUAGUUGCAUGCCGUAGACCCGAAACCGGGUGACCUAUCCAUGGCCAGGUUGAAGCGAGGGUAAAACCUCGUGGAGGACCGAACCACGUUGCUGUUGAAAAAGCAUGGGAUGAGCUGUGGAUAGCGGAGAAAUUCCAAUCGAACCCGGAGAUAGCUGGUUCUCUCCGAAAUAGCUUUAGGGCUAGCGUCGAGUAUGAGUAGUGGAGGUAGAGCACUGAAUGGGCUAGGGGGCAUAGCGCUUACCGAACCUUAUCAAACUCCGAAUGCCACAUACUUUGAGCUCGGCAGUCAGACUACGAAUGAUAAGAUCCGUGGUCAAAAGGGAAACAGCCCAGAUCGUCAGCUAAGGUCCCAAAGUGUAAGUUAAGUGGGAAAGGAUGUGAGAUUUCUAAGACAACUAGGAUGUUGGCUUAGAAGCAGCCAUUCAUUAAAAGAGUGCGUAAUAGCUCACUAGUCGAGAGAUCUUGCGCCGAAAAUGUAACGGGGCUAAACUUACCACCGAAGCUACGGGCUUGAACUUAGUUCAAGCGGUAGGAGAGCGUCGUAACCGGGCUGAAGUCGUACCGUAAGGAGCGGUGGACUGGUUACGAGUGAGAAUGUUGGCAUCAGUAGCGAGAUGUGGGUGAGAAUCCCACAGGCCGAAAACCUAAGGUUUCCUCAGGAAGGUUCGUCCGCUGAGGGUUAGUCGGGACCUAAGCCGAGGCCGAAAGGCGUAGGUGAUGGACAACUGGUUGAUAUUCCAGUACCACUACCAUCGUUAUUAUCGAUGGCGUGACGCAGGAGGAUAGUGUGUGCUAGCUAUUGGAUGCUAGUCUAAGCGUUUAGGCAGUGAGAGUAGGCAAAUCCGCUCUCAUAAUGCUGAGGCGUGAUGGGGAAGGUUCUACGGAACCGAAGUACAUGAUUCCACGCUGCCAAGAAAAGCGUCUAGAGAGAGAAGUAGUGCCCGUACCGCAAACCGACACAGGUAGGUGAGGAGAGAAUCCUAAGGCCGGCGGAAGAAUUACAGUUAAGGAACUCGGCAAAUUGACCCCGUAAGUUCGCGAGAAGGGGUGCCUACGAGAGUAGGCCGCAGAGAAUAGGCCCAAGCAACUGUUUAGCAAAAACACAGGUCUCUGCUAAAGCGUAAGCUGAUGUAUAGGGGCUGACGCCUGCCCGGUGCUGGAAGGUUAAGGGGAACACUUAGCGCAAGCGAAGGAGUGAACUUAAGCCCCAGUAAACGGCGGCCGUAACUAUAACGGUCCUAAGGUAGCGAAAUUCCUUGUCGGGUAAGUUCCGACCCGCACGAA